rnacentral:lncRNA from 1 species
UUUAGGUCUUGGAUGGUUUUGUUCAAUUCCAUCACCUGUUUGGUUGUGUUUUCCUAUAAUUCUUUAAGGACUUCUACCUGUUUAGCAGUGUUCUCCUGUAUUUCUUUAAGUCUGUUGGGGUAUCCAGGACUGGCUGAGGUGGAUUGCUGGGUUCUGAUGCUAGUGAGCCGUCUUGGUUUCUGUUGGUAAGAUUCUUACAUUUUCCUUUUGCCAUCUGGUAAUCUCUGGUGUU